rnacentral:rRNA from 1 species
GAUGAACGCUGGCGGCGUGCCUAAUACAUGCAAGUCGAGCGAACAGACGAGGAGCUUGCUCCUCUGACGUUAGCGGCGGACGGGUGAGUAACACGUGGAUAACCUACCUAUAAGACUGGGAUAACUUCGGGAAACCGGAGCUAAUACCGGAUAAUAUAUUGAACCGCAUGGUUCAAUAGUGAAAGACGGUUUUGCUGUCACUUAUAGAUGGAUCCGCGCCGCAGUAGCUAGUUGGUAAGGUAACGGCUUACCAAGGCGACGAUGCGUAGCCGACCUGAGAGGGGGAUCGGCCACACUGGAGCUGAGACACGGUCCAGACUCCUACGGGAGGCAGCAGUAUGGAAUCGUCCGCAAUGGUCGAAAGCCUGACGGAGCAACGCCGCGUGAGUGAUGAAGGUCUUCGGAGCGUAAAACUCUGUUAUGAGGGAAGAACAAAUGUGUAAGUAACUAUGCACGUCUUGACGGUACCUAAUCAGAAAGCCACGGCUAACUACGUG